GGACCCGCACAAGCAGCGGAGCAUGUGGUUUAAUUCGAAGCAACGCGAAGAACCUUACCAGAGCUUGACAUCCCUCUGACCGGUCCUUAAUCGGACCUUUCUUCGGACAGAGGAGACAGGUGGUGCAUGGUUGUCGUCAGCUCGUGUCGUGAGAUGUUGGGUUAAGUCCCGCAACGAGCGCAACCCUUGUCAUUAGUUGCCAUCAUUAAGUUGGGCACUCUAGUGAGACUGCCGGGGAUAACUCGGAGGAAGGUGGGGAUGACGUCAAAUCAUCAUGCCCCUUAUGUUCUGGGCUACACACGUGCUACAAUGGUCGGUACAACGAGAAGCGAGACCGCGAGGUGGAGCAAAUCUUCAAAAACCGAUCCCAGUUCGGAUUGCAGGCUGAAACUCGCCUGCAUGAAGUCGGAGUUGCUAGUAAUCGCAGAUCAGAAUGCUG
rnacentral:rRNA from 1 species